GUUCCUGUAGUUGAAGUAUUGAUCAACGGUGGCUUUUCAAGUCACAGAUCUUGGAGAAAAGCCAAGCAGGAAUU
rnacentral:tRNA from 1 species